rnacentral:rRNA from 1 species
UACGUAGGGUGCGAGCGUUGUCCGGAUUUAUUGGGCGUAAAGGGCUCGUAGGCGGCGUGUCGCGUCGGGAGUGAAAGCCCGCUGCUUAACGGCGGGUUGGCUUCCGGUACGGGCAUGCUGGAGUGUGGCAGGGGAGACUGGAAUUCCUGGUGUAGCAGUGAAAUGCGUAGAUAUCAGGAGGAAUACCGAUGGCGAAGGCAGGUCUCUGGGCUGACACUGACGCUCAUGCACGAAAGCGUGGGGAGCAAACAGG